UGGGGAAUUGUUCGCAAUGGGCGCAAGCCUGACGACGCAACGCCGCGUGGAGGAUGAAGAUCUUCGGGUCGUAAACUCCUUUCGAUCGGGAAGAACGUUUUCGGGGUGAAUAAUCCCGAGAAGUGACGGUACCGAGAGAAGAAGCCCCGGCUAACUCCGUGCCAGCAGCCGCGGUAAUACGGGGGGGGCAAGCGUUGUUCGGAAUUACUGGGCGUAAAGGGCUUGUAGGCGGCCAACUAAGUCCGACGUGAAAUCCCCAGGCUUAACCUGGGAACUGCGUCGGAUACUGGAUGGCUUGAAUCCGGGAGAGGGAUGCGGAAUUCCAGGUGUAGCGGUGAAAUGCGUAGAUAUCUGGAGGAACACCGGUGGCGAAGGCGGCAUCCUGGACCGGCAUUGACGCUGAAAAGCGAAAGCCAGGGGAGCAAACGGGAUUAGAUACCCCGGUAGUCCUGGCCCUAAACGAUGAAUGCUUGGUGUGGCGGGUAUCGAUCCCUGCCGUGCCGAAGCUAACGCAUUAAGCAUUCCGCCUGGGGAGUACGGUCGCAAGGCUGA
rnacentral:rRNA from 1 species